rnacentral:rRNA from 1 species
CAAUAGCGUAUAUUUAAGUUGUUGCAGUUAAAAAGCUCGUAGUUGGAUUUCGGUUAAGAGCGACCGGUCCGCCGUUUGGUGUGCACUGGUUGGUUUUAACUUCCUGUAGAGGACGUGCUCUGGGUUUAACGACCUGGACUCGGAGUCUACGUGGUUACUUUGAAAAAAUUAGAGUGUUCAAAGCGGGCUUACGCUUGAAUAUUUCAGCAUGGAAUAACACUAUAGGACUCCUGUCCUAUUUCGUUGGUCUCGGGACGGGAGUAAUGAUUAAGAGGAACAGUUGGGGGCAUUCGUAUUUCAUUGUCAGAGGUGAAAUUCUUGGAUUUGUUCAAGACGGACUACUGCGAAAGCAUUUGCCAAGGAUGUUUNCAUUG